AUUGAACGCUGGCGGCAGGCCUAACACAUGCAAGUCGAACGAGUGGCGGACGGGUGAGUAAUGUCUGGGAAACUGCCUGAUGGAGGGGGAUAACUACUGGAAACGGUAGCUAAUACCGCAUAACAUCAGAUGUGCCCAGAUGGGGUUAGCUGGUUGGUGGGGGAACGGCUCACCAAGGCGACGAUCCAUAGCUGGUCUGAGAGGAUGACCAGCCAACCUGGAACUGAGACACGGUCCCUACUCCUACGGGAGGAAGCAGUGGGUAAUAUUGCACAAUGGGCGCAAGCCUGAUGCAGCCAUGCCGCGUGGAUGAAGAAGGCCUUCGGGUUGGAAAGUACUUUCAGCGGGGAGGCGUUACCCGCAGAAGAAGCACCGGCUAACUCCGUGCCAGCAGCCGCGGUAAUAC
rnacentral:rRNA from 1 species